CGAUUCGACAUGGUCUGAUUUUGUUGAUUAUCUUGUUUGUAUUUUGAGUUUUGUUAAAUAUUUGUUGAAAUAUCAUUUUGGUUGUUGUAUUUUUUUUGAUUUAAUUUUUAUUACGAUAGAUUAUUUGUACUGUAAAGGGUUGUGUUUAAUGUUUUUUAAGAAGUUGAUUUUGUUUGUUGUACCUUGUGUAUCAGGGUUCAUUGAAUUUUGUUAUUUAUUUUUAUUUCCCGAUAUUGGGGGAGUUAAUGAUUUAUGUUAGUUACUGUUUCAGUAUUAUUAAUAAUAAGUUGUUGGUAAUGAAAUGUUAUUCGUCUUUAAUGGUUUCUGGUUUUCCAAGAAAUGAAUUCAAUUCAUACAUUUGAUUUAAUUUCUGUUGUUGUUUACUUAUUUUUAUUUGAUGUUAAGAUUAAGGGGGAUUAGCUCCUUGUUUUAUUUUUAUAAUUAUUGUUCUGAAUUUAGUUUUGUGGAUUUUAUGGUGAUUUUCAAUUUGAUUAUGUUAAAAUUUUAUUUUUUCUUUUGUUUAUUUUUAGUUAAUUUAAUUUAUUUAUUGGAAUGUUUUCUUUAUCUUUGUUUUGUGUAGUAAUUAUUGUGUAAUUAGUAAAUUGGCUUUAUUAUGUUGUUUGAUUGUAAUGUUAAUUCCUUUUUAGGAAUUAGGCAAAAGUUUUCAUGUCCGCCUGUUUAACAAAAACAUCUUUUCUUGUUAGUUUUUGAAGUAUGGCCUGCCCACUGACUUAGGUUGAAGGGCCGCGGUAUUUUGACCGUGCAAAGGUAGCAUAAUCAUUAGUUCUUUAAUUGUGAUCUGGUAUGAAUGGCUUGACGAGACAUGGGCUGUCUUAGUAGGAUUGUUUUGUUGAAUUUAGUUUUUGAGUUAAAAUUCUUAGAUGUUUUUAUGGGACGAGAAGACCCUAUAGAGUUUGACAUUAUGCUUAUUGGUGUUGUUUAGGUUUGUUGUAGCUGUUUUAGUAGGUUUAUUGUUUUGUUGGGGUGAUGGGAGGAAUUUUUUUAACUCCUCUUUUGUUUGGUUAUAUUUAUUUAUAUUUGUUUGAUCCAUUAAUUUUGAUUAUAAGAUUAAAUUACCUUAGGGAUAACAGCGUUAUCUUCCUUGAGAGUUCUUAUUGGCGGGAAGGUUUGCGACCUCGAUGUUGGAUUAAGAUGAAUUUUCGGUGCAGGAGCUGAAAUUGAUUAGGUCUGUUCGACCUUUAAAAUCUUACAUGAUCUGAGUUCAGACCGGCGUGAGCCAGGUUGGUUUCUAUCUAUAAUAAUUUUUUAUGCCUUAGUACGAGAGGACCGGGUAUUUGGAAUAAUUUUAUUUUAUGUGAUUUUUAUUAAUAUGGUUACUAUUUUGGCAGAUAAGUGCAUUGGAUUUAGAAUCUAUUAA
rnacentral:rRNA from 1 species